rnacentral:piRNA from 1 species
UGGGUGAAAGUAUAUUUGAUAGAAAUAUGA